GUUACAUAAUUUUUUCUUUAGCCAUUAUUGCCAGAAUUCCUAUCUUCAUCCCAGUGCCGGUGAAGACAAAGAUAAAACCAAUCUACAGCUUCUGCAAUAGCCAUCACUGAACUGCUUGCAGAACUUGCCUGGACACAUUGUGAACUCACCUGUAUGCAUUGUGAACUAUCUGUUGGUGCAGCGACUUGUGGUAGUGUUGGGGUAUUUUUGCUGAUGAUGUCAUUGGUGGUACAAUUUUUCCAAAAGGAGCCGUCAAUUGGCUUGGUGUAUCUUCCUCCCUUCUGCUUGUCAUGAUCGUUCAGCUAAAAUUUGGGGGCCAACAGAGGUGAGGCAAAGAACCUCACCCCCCCGCUGGUACAAAGACCUCUCCACAGGUGUGGCUGUAUACUGGACCGGUAGUCAGUGACGGGUAAGAUCCAAUUGCAAUGGUACCAACCUAAGACAGGAGGCUGACGCCUUGAGGUCAGCUCAUCCCAUAACGGGUAAGGACCAUAUGUACUAUUGGACAACCUAAGGCAGG
rnacentral:lncRNA from 1 species